CGGCUCUCCAGUUCACUGCAGUGGCUUCCUGCUUCAUUCCCACCAGCCUGGCCUCUGUAGGCACUUGGGUUUCCAACCUCUGGAAUACAAAGAACCUUAAGGUGCUGAAAAACAAGUAACACAAGGUAUGCUCCCUCAAAACCUGAGGAAUAACUUUUGGAAACCACUUGGGAGCUUCACUCAGGAGGCAUGAAGCAAUCAAGUAUUUAGGACAAAAUUAUGUUUAUUUGUGGCACUCUACAAAAGCUGAAGUUCUACUUUCCAGAACCGAAUCAGGUACCCACUGUCAAGAAUACCCUUGAAGAAGGGAGAGGAUGUAGAGUAUUUACACUGUGCAGAAGAGACAGAAGACAAAGUAAAAGAGAAGUAUUGGAGAAAGC